UACGGAGGGUGCAAGCGUUAUCCGGAUUCACUGGGUUUAAAGGGUGCGUAGGUGGGUUGGUAAGUCAGUGGUGAAAUCUCCGUGCUUAACAUGGAAACUGCCAUUGAUACUACUGAUCUUGAAUUUUCAGGAGUAAGCGGAAUAUGUCAUGUAGCGGUGAAAUGCUUAGAUAUGACAUAGAACACCAAAUUGCGAAGGCAGCUUACUAC
rnacentral:rRNA from 1 species